rnacentral:rRNA from 1 species
GAUCAUGGCUCAGGACGAACGCUGGCGGCGUGCUUAACACAUGCAAGUCGAACGAAGCGCUUAAGAUGAUUUCUUCGGAAUGAAUUUUUAGUUGCUUAGUGGCGGACGGGUGAGUAACGCGUGAGCAACCUGCCCAUAAGAGGGGGAUAACAGCUGGAAACGGCUGCUAAUACCGCAUAAGACCACAUUGCCACAUGGCAAAGGGGUCAAAGAUUUAUCGCUUAUGGAUGGGCUCGCG